AGGUACACAAGACCUCGCUGAGGAAAUAAAAGGAGAAGAAGAGCAGCAGUGUCCUGGCGUCCUUUCUGACUCGUCAAGAAGCGGCGCAGGCAAACGCUCGAGAAGAAAGACAGUCUAUGAAAAAGCUAUGACAAAAAGACGUCUGGAUCAGGAAAGAGCAAAAACCCGAGUUACAAUCGGCUCUGCUUUCCCCCGCUGGAGACAGCUGCGAGAGUCAAAGUGUCUGAAGACCGAUGCCAUGGUUGCCCUUUUUCUUCUGGACAAUUACGAGAAAAGUACAACAUCCACACCUUUGUUGCAUGAAUUCAUAAAGCCACCACCAGAGUUUUCCAACGGUUUUUCCGAGUCUUCGUACGAACAACACAGGCCUGAAAUCAAGUUUCUCAUUAAGGAGGAAGAGGAGGAGAAACCUGCCUGUAAAAUUGAGGGUUUAUGAGGAGAGAGAGUAGGAUGCUUCUGUUGGCAAUCAGUACGCAAUCCAUGAAUGAUAUUCUUCCUGUUCUCAGAGAUGGACCUGCUGUGAACUCUGAACCUGUUCAUGAUGAGAAUCAAUCCUGACAACAGCAUGUGCUCCUCAAAGGUCCAGAUCAGCAGAAGAAGUGGAAGAUGGUGAAAGGAAGAGCUCUGGCCUGAAACACCUGUGUGGCCUCCUUAAUGAAGGAGUUUGUGGAUUCAACUGGCAAAAUGACUAAAUCUACUAAAUAUAUUCUGCUUGUUUUUUAAUCUUUCAAUGUUAAUAUAAUACUUAGGAUUGUUCAUGUAUUCCAUCCAAUUGUUCAUGAUUUUCUUUUUUAAUGCUUCAGUAUGUGUGUUACUCUUGUGUGUUACUGCAGGUUGUCUGACAUUUUUCUUUAAAUAGUGAUAGUGGACAAUAAUUCACUUGUUUUCAACAAUAGUCCAAUUUACUGUAACGAAGUGCAGGGGCUGCUUUUGUGUUCAUGAAUUGAAUCACUAUUCGUUAUUAUUAUUAUUAUUAUUAUAAUUAUUAUAGUAUGUUGUGCUCAGGAUAGCUGUGAUUCAUUAAAGGAGAGUUUUCUAAAUA